UAAUGGUGGGAACUCCAGGGAGACUGCCGGUGAUAAACCGGAGGAAGGUGGGGACGACGUCAAGUCAUCAUGGCCCUUACGAGUAGGGCUACACACGUGCUACAAUGGCGUAUACAGAGGGCUGCCAACCAGCGAUGGUGAGCGAAUCCCAGAAAGUACGUCGUAGUCCGGAUUGGAGUCUGCAACUCGACUCCAUGAAGUCGGAAUCGCUAGUAAUCGUGGAUCAGAAUGCCACGGUGAAUACGUUCCCGGGCCUUGUACACACCGCCCGUCACACCAUGGGAGUGGGCUGCACCAGAAGUAGAUAGCUUAACCUUCGGGAGGGCGUUUACCACGGUGUGGUUCAUGACUGGGGUGAAGUCGUAACAAGGUAGCCCUAGGGGAACCUGGGGCUGGAUCACCUCCUUA
rnacentral:rRNA from 1 species